rnacentral:rRNA from 1 species
UACAGAGGGGGCAAGCGUUGUUCGGAAUUACUGGGCGUAAAGGGCGCGUAGGCGGCCUUCUAAGUCGAACGUGAAAUCCCCGGGCUCAACCCGGGAACUGCGUCCGAUACUGGAAGGCUUGAAUCCGGGAGAGGGAUGCGGAAUUCCAGGUGUAGCGGUGAAAUGCGUAGAUAUCAAGAGGAACACCUGCGGCGAAGGCGGGUUGCUGGGCUGACACUGACGCUGAGGCGCGAAAGCUAGGGGAGCGAACGGG